GAUCCUCCCCGGCUCAGAUUGAACGCUGGCGGCAUGCCUUACACAUGCAAGUCGAACGGCAGCAUGGAGAGCUUGCUCUCUGAUGGCGAGUGGCGAACGGGUGAGUAAUACAUCGGAACGUGUCCGUUUGUGGGGGACAACCGUCCGAAAGGAUGGCUAAUACCGCAUAAGACCUGAGGGUGAAAGCCGGGGACCGCAAGGCCCGGCGCAGACGGAGCGGCCGAUGAUUGAUUAG
rnacentral:rRNA from 1 species